AACUAAACCCGAUUGUACGGGUGCCAUUUUUCAUGGCAGGAGGGAAAGCGGGGCUAUGA
rnacentral:sRNA from 1 species